ensembl:lncRNA
CGUAGAAACAGAACUAUAAAGUACACAAGGAGCCGUAGGAACAGAACUACAAAGUACACAAGGAGGCGUAGAAACAGAACUAUAAAGUACACAAGGAGGCGUAGAAACAGAACUAUAAAGUACACAAGGAGGCGUAGAAACAGAACUAUAAAGUACACAAGGAGGCGUAGAAACAGAACUAUAAAGUACACAAGGAGCCGUAGAAACAGAACUAUAAAGUACACAAGGAGGCAUAGAAACAGAACUAUAAAGUACACAAGGAGGCGUAGAAACAGAACUACAAAGGACACAAGGAGGCGUAGAAACAGAACUAUAAAGUACACAAGGAGGCGUAGAAACAGAACUAUAAAGGACAC